rnacentral:rRNA from 1 species
AUUUAUGCCUACAACAUAGCGUUAAUUCAUCAGAUCCCAUUAGAACUCCGUAGUUAAGCGUGCUCGGGCUAGAGUAGUACUGGGAUGGGUGACCACACGGGAAGUCCUAGUAUUUUACAUG